rnacentral:rRNA from 1 species
AUUGAACGCUGGCGGUAUGCUUAACACAUGCAAGUCGAACGGCAGCACGGGAAAGCUUGCUUUCCUGGUGGCGAGUGGCGGACGGGUGAGUAACGCGUAGGAAUCUGCCCAACAGCGGGGGACAACUCCGGGAAACCGGAGCUAAUACCGCAUACGCCCUACGGGGGAAAGGCGGGGAUCUCUUCGGAGACCUGUCACUGUUGGAUGAGCCUGCGUUGGAUUAGCUUGUUGGUGGGGUAAAAGCCCACCAAGGCGACGAUCCAUAGCUGGUCUGAGAGGAUGAUCAGCCACACUGGGACUGAGACACGGCCCAGACUCCUACGGAGCAGCAGUGGGGAAUAUUGGACAAUGGGCGAAAGCCUGAUCCAGCAAUACCGCGUGUGUGAAGAAGGCCUUAGGGUUGUAAAGCACUUUCAAUUGGGAAGAAAAGCAUUCGGUUAAUACCCGGGUGUCUUGACGGUACCUUUACAAGAAGCACCGGCUAACUCUGUGCCAGCAGCCG